rnacentral:lncRNA from 1 species
GUCCAACUGUAUCAUUUUGUUUUAAAAAUUGUAUUAUUUAAUGUUUAACAUUCUUUUUUUUUUAAUUUUGAGUUCCAAAUUCUCUUCCUCCUUCCAGCCUUUUCCCCAUUUGUUGAGAAAGCAGGCAAUAUGAUAUCAAUUAUACAGGUGAAACCAUGCAAAACAUAUUUCCAUAUUAUCUGUUACCAGAAAAAAAAAAAGCAAUAAAGUGAACAAAUUACACUUUAAUUCGCACUCAGAGUUCAUCAGUUUUCCCUCUGGAAAACUGUUCUCCAGAAUGGUCAGACCAGUUCACAACUUGAUCAACAACGAAGUGGUGAACCUAUUUUUCCACAUCCUUUCCAUCGUUUGUCAUUUUCCUUUUCUGUCAAGUUAGCCAAUCUGAUGGAUGUGAGGUGGCACCUCACAGUUAAUUUAAUUUUUGUUUCUCUCAUCAAUAGUGAUUUAGAGCAUUUUUUUAAUGUGACCAUAGAUAGUUUUGAUUUCUUCUCUGAAAAUUGCCCAUUCAUAUCCUUUGGCCAUUUAUCAAUUGGGAUGGCUCUUACUUUUACAAAUUGACUCAGUUCCCUAGAUAGCUGAGAAAUUAGGCUUUUAUCAGAGAAACUUGUGGUGAUGAUUGAACCAAUAGAUGGGGUAAGGUACAAAUAGGAUCCUAGGAUUGUAGCUAGACUUUAGAGGUUACCCAGUUAAAGCAUUCAUAGAGGUAGGGAUGGAAGUGACUUGAGAAGUCAUUAAGUUUUACAGAUUGGGACCCCAAAAGGUCAGUGAUUUGCCCUGGGUCCUACAGCUUAAGUGGCAGAGUGAGAAUUUCCUGCCAGGGCCUCUGGCUCCUAAGCCAAAGUCUUCUCAAUACACCAGCCUGCCUCCUUCAUUUGGGUAAAGUGCUUUGCCAACUUGAGAGCUCUGUAAAGUAUUGUUAGAUGCCUGCUGACCACCUCCUGACUCCUUUUUUUCAGCUACGACUCCCUGGUAACCAUUUUUCCUCCCUCCUUCACAGUCCAAAGCUCAUUCUCUCACCCCUGGCAGCCCUGUGGGCACCAAGCCAGGCCAAGCUACUGUCUCCAGGGGAAACAUAGGCCCUUUUCAAAGUCCCGCCCCCACUCCCCACUCCAUCCCUCCCCUCCUCCUCUGUAGAGAGCGAGGGGCAAGGGAGAGAGGCUUGCUCCUUGGGCUUAGAGAUCCCCAGGGCUCCCCACCAUCGCCACCCAUCUGGGCUCCGCUCCAAGCCGGUCCAGGAGGCGCACGCGAGGCUGCUCUUGAGUUGUCCCAGCGUUGCCAGGGUGACCCCAGCUGGGUCCUAGGCUCGAGUGCACGCGCUGCUCUGCGGCCAGGCGAAGGCUGGGCCAAGGCUUUGGACCGACAGUUCCUUGGCUCCUGGGGGUCAGGGGCGGAACCAGGGCACCUCGAGCUAACCUCUUACAGCCCCAUUGGUGACUCCCAGGGACCAAAGGUUUGCUGCAAGAUACCAAAUAAGGACCAGUGUCACAAGGCUCCGAUGCUGUGACAUCCCCCACUGUGGGGCCACCCACUCUGGCUUACCCAUUGUGUCAUCAUGGCUCCCUGGAAAGGGAUUGGGGGAGUCAGGGUGAGCCCAAAGUCAAAGCAGAAGAAGGUACCAGUGGGCAGCACAUCGCCCCUGGGGACUGAAACCAUCUUGAAAUGACACCUUGGAGUUGUCUAAAAAAUUGACAUCUAGGAAAAGUCCCCGGACCCAAAGGACCCUGAACCCAAGCAAACACUGACUCCGGCAUCAGAAGAGGUCCCUCCUUCUCUAAU